rnacentral:rRNA from 1 species
UACGUAGGUGGCAAGCGUUACUCGGAAUCACUAGGCGUAAAGCGCAGGUAGGCGGUUCGGUAAGUCUCUUGUGAAAGCUCCCGGCUCAACUGGGAGAGGUCAAGGGAAACUGCCGGGCUAGAGUGCGGCAGAGGAAGCUGGAAUUCCCGGUGUAGCGGUGAAAUGCGUAGAGAUCGGGAGGAAUACCUAUGGCGAAAGCAGGCUUCUGGGCCGUCACUGACACUGAUCUGCGAAAGCUAGGGGAGCAAACAG